rnacentral:lncRNA from 1 species
GCCAAGGUUCUUCUUGAGAAAAAAAACUUCUACGAGAAGGAAGAAGUUUGAGAUAGAUCUCGAUGGAUAUCUGUAGAGGUCAGACACAUGUGCGGCUCAACCUUCUACGAAUCCGAGAUCAUCAGAAAUAUUGAAUUUCUACUCGCACCAAGGUAAUGAGAUCUGAUCUCAUAAAUUUUUUUAAAUUAUAGAUUGAUGAUAUGUGCUUUCUCCUGAGCUUGGAUAGGUUUAGAUUUGAUCUUUAGGAUGUGGGGUUAAAGGGUUUAACACAUUUUAUUUUUCGCUACCUAUUUUCAAAAUUUUAAAAUCUACACAUGAAGCCUAUCCGAUUUUCUAACAAUUUUUUUUAUACCCAGAAGCCUUUUCUAUAUCCUCAUCUACUUUCUUUUGAAUUAGAAAUUGGUUGAUUUAAAUUUGAGUUCAAAUGGGUUUGAAUUUGAAUGAAAACCUAAAGUCCAAAUUGAGUUAGACUCUCCUCUUCACGCCACCAUCUUUCUCCAUGCAUAAAAUAUUUUUGCAUGAGAUUUUUUGCACCAUUCUGAUGUUAGUCGACCCCUCUCUGAGUUCAUAAGAUGAGAAUAAAGUUUGGUUUAAAAUUUAAUUUAAAUUUAAUUUGAAUUGAUGAUAAGGAUCAACCAAUAUUUGAAUUUAAAUCGAAACUACCUCUUUCUUAUACUUAUCUUCCAUGAGACGCCAACCUUAAAAGGGGAUCAAUUUUAUCCCAGAUUAAAAAUGAUUUUUGGUAUGAGUAAUCUGAGAGCAGAGAUGUGAAAAGUUGAGAGUGGGUUGGGCUUCUGUGUGUGAGAAACAGAGGAAGUGUUCUUCCUCUCAGAAGUGAGCUGUGGGUUCUAGGGUUUCAACUCUAAGUUUUGUAAGCAGAAAAUACAAGAGUGAGUCUUGUCCAAUCUUCCACACCACCACCUCCUCGUAAAGCUCCAUCUUUUGAUCUGAAGAUAUUCGGAAGAUCUAAAGAAAUGAGCUUGGAUCAGCCAUCUAGAGCUUUUGAUGCGAGCUAGCACUCCCAUGAAGAAAGAUCCGAUCAGGGCUUCGAGUGGAUGAUCUAUAGAGGAAAGACGAUCUGUGCGACUGCUCGACAUCAGCAAGAGUUUCGUACCAUACUUACCAGCAGUGGAGAUCAUCGAUCCAUGAAUAGAUGAUGAGUUCUAAACUCAACUAAUAUAAUCUAAAGGUUAGAUCAGAUUUAGGAUAUCGAUGUGAUCGAUACAGUUUUCUGUUUUAUAUCAAAUUUUAUAUUAAAUUUUUUAUAUCAUAGAUCCUUAAUGAUAGUUUAGAUCGGAUCUAAAGCAUGAUUAGAAGAUUAAAAUAUUUAAUCUUUUAUUAUUUUACUAUAAAAUUUUAAAAAUACAUACUUUGAACUACUCAUUUUUUCUUCAUAUAAUUCAAUGACGGAAAGUUUAUGGGUGCAGUCAAGUCAAUACGUGAGUCAAGAUGGGAUUGACCCCUCUGAAUUAGUAGGAGUUAUGUAUCAAUAUAUAUCAAUUUAGCAAAAUCUAAGUCUGGAUAAUCCAUAUGAUGGAUUUGAAAGAUUGAAAUACAAUGUUCAAGACUUAUCUAGGAUUGACAGUUAAAUCCUAGAUCGUUCUUGAGUAUUAAGGCCAAAGAGAUGAAUUGUAUGAUAACCAUAUACUAGUAGGUUCUUGAAUGUUGCUUCGUCAUUAUUCGAUCUAUCCAGACGUCGGAUUUCAUUACUAGAUGGUAACAUCGAUUGGUUCAAAAAUUUAUUCUUGUGCUACUGGCUUAGGUUCGAACCCAUGAGGUCACACUCAAAAAAAAAUUCUGACUGAUCAUGUGACUGAUCAACGAUUGAGAAUCAUUCAAAGACUUAAUCAUCAAUUCGAUUGAUGGUUAACCUUAUACAAAAGUUAUAAUGAAUUUAUUCACUAAGUGUAAGUGAAUUAAUGAAAGAUUAAUUAGCAAUUAGAUUGCUGAUUAGCUUAAUUUGAUUGAGCAAAAAAGAUUAGAUAAAAUCUAAUUGAAUUAGAUUCAAUUAGGUUUGAUCCAAUUAGGUUAUGAGAUGACCUAAUCGCUAAAGAAGAAUUGUCCCUGAAUUGAUCAGAACUUUAGUUCAAUCAAUUUCUAAUUUGAUUGAGAUUUGAUUAAAGAUUUAUGAACCUAAUUAAACUAGAUUUUAUCCAUUUAUUUAGGCUUAACUAGAUGUGAUUUGGUUUGGAUUCAAAUAAAAAAACUAAGAGUCCAUAUAGCAUUGGACUCUUCUCCCUUGCGCCACAACUUUGGAUGCCCAUAUUUCAUCACGCACAAAAGUUUUUGCAUGAUGUUUUCUCCACACACAAGAGCCUUCUACCUUCUCUUUCUCACGUCCAAAGAUGGAUAAUAUUUGGUAUUUUAUGGUAUGUUCAAAUGUGGUUUGAAAUUGGUUACCAUAUAAGAUAAUGUUUGACAUUAUCUAAAUCUUGCCACCAACUUCCUUCUUUUCCCCUUAUUUUGUGCGACAAUGUGGACAAUUUUUCCAUGGAGAAUCAGAUAGAGAUCAGAUUCCAUAUGAAAGCAAGUUAUUUGGUGAGUCCCAUAUUGUUUGGCAUUGGAAUUAUGAGAGGGAGGCGAUAUCUUAUGGAAGAGUCCAAACGUUGUUAGACUCUUCAUCCCACUUCCUUACACGCCUAAAUAAAAGGGUUUUGUUAUUCUUUUUGUGCAUGUAAGAGAGAGAAAAAAAAUGGCUUUUCAUGGUGAGAAGUCCUUGGGAAUGGGUUCAUGGCGUGAAAUGAAGAAAAGAGUCAUCUCUUCUUAGGUUAGCACUAAAACCUAGUUUCUAGCGUUUGGACCAAGGGUUUAGGAAGAGAGAAAACUUAGAGAGAAAAUUCUUCUUCAUCUUUCUUCCACAUCCUCAUCUCCUUUAGAUAUUCAUCUUCAAUCUCUAAAAAAAUUUCAAAGAUUUGAAGAAAGGAUCCAGAUCAAUCAAAAAGAAGAUUUUCGUGUGAACUAGCAUUCUCAAAAGAGACCGAUCAAAUUGGGGUUUAGAGUGGACCUUCCAUAGAUACCGGACACAUGUGCGGUUGUGAGCAACCAGUGAGGAUCUUCCUUACCACAUCUUUCAAUAGCAGCGAUCAUCGAUCCGUACUCAGAUAUCGAGUUCUGAACUCAGAUUAGAUGUAAAUUUAAUCUACUGCUCACAUGUAUGCAUGCUAAUUUUAUCAUCUGCUAAUUUUUAGAUUUUAUAUGCAACAUAUCAUAUCAUAAAUUCUAAAGUAGGUUGAUUUGAUGAUUAGAUCAUAUGCAUAUUAGAUUAAUAUGAUUAAUCUAGUUAUCUUCUAUUGUAUUUUAUUUCAAAAACUUUUAAAAUACAUGCAUGAAAUCGUUUACGUUUUCCAACAGUAGUAUCAGAGCUAGGUU